rnacentral:tRNA from 1 species
AAAUAUGAAGUUCAAGAAAAAGCUGCUAACUUUCUUCUUUAGUGGUUAAAAUCCAUUAAUAUUUCU